AUAAAUGCUAGCCAGGCAAAUGCUUCUCUUAUAAAGCCUUCCAAGAUUUCUUCAAUGCAGGUGAUCUUUUAGGCGAGCCUUGAAAAGCUCCACAUGUUCACCAAAUCACUGUUAAGAAGAAUGACAUCUGCCUCUAAUGAUGAUCGGCAUGAAUUCUAUAAGCGUUAUUGCUUUAGUGCUAUACUCUUAUGGAACAGAAAAGGAGAAAAAUCUGGAAGAGGAGAAAGGUGGACUCAGCAAAAUUAAAGGCUCUAUUUUAAAA